UAAACAGAGAACCAAAGGAUGUUCUGUGCUUCUGGGCCAUUGAUUGUUACUGUCCACUGUGAUACAGCACCACUGCCAAGGUUGCCGUGGGCUGGUUGCGUUCUUCCACCAAAGAUCUCCAGUUCUUGCUGAGUGGUACCUACUCGUAUUUUCUGACCACUGAUGUUGGUGACCCUCACAUUUGUAAAUAGCCCAUCUAUCAAUCAAUAUCUCCUUUACCACUCAGACUUUCUUCUGGCGCACAUCUGCAGGGGGGAGUUCCUGGAAGUGAUGCAGAGUAAGGGGUGUGGCUGCGGGAGAGAAGAACAGCUCAGACGCAUCUGCCUCACAAAUCUCCCGUGCGGGAACCGUUUCUGAUUCAGAAUCAUUGCGUAGAUGCAUUGGCAAAGAACCCGACUCUCCUCCAACUCUCGUGAUGACUCAUUCUUAACCUUACUGAGAAAAACGAGACAGGAAGUGGGAGCCCAGGGGCUGGCAGGCAGCCUCUAAACACAUUGCCUUUCACCUACCAGCGAUCACAUCUGCAACGUUCCACAGAAAUAAAAACCUCUCCAUGUUUGCAGAGCGAAUUGGACCAAUUGAACCAGGGGGUAUACCCUGCUGAGUAAAAGGGCAAGGGGGAUAAGUUACAGCCUUGCCUGUUUCUUAGGCAGAGGUAGCCUGAGGCCUCCAUGUGUACUGUCAGUUCGUAUUCUUGACCUUUGUUACAUGGUUUUAUUUUUUGUAACGUUUCU